rnacentral:rRNA from 1 species
UACGUAGGGGGCAAGCGUUGUCCGGAAUCAUUGGGCGUAAAGCGCGUGUAGGCGGCUCGAUAAGUCUGCUGUGAAAGUCCAGGGCUCAACCCUGGGAUGCCGGUGGAUACUGUCGAGCUCGAGUCCGGAAGAGGCGAGUGGAAUCCUGGUGUAGCGGUGGAAUGCGCAGAUAUCAGGAGGAACACCGGUGGCGAAGGCGACUUCUGGUCUGUAACUGACACUGAGGCGCGAAAGCGUGGGGAGCAACAGG